rnacentral:rRNA from 1 species
AACGAACGCUGGCGGCAGGCCUAACACAUGCAAGUCGAGCGCCCGCAAGGGAGCGGCGGACGGGUGAGUAACGCGUGGGAACGUGCUCUUUGCUACGGAAUAGCCUCGGGAAGCUGAGAGUAAUACCGUAUGUGCCCUUCGGGGGAAAGAUUUAUCGGCAAAGGAUCGGCCCGCGUUGGAUUAGGUAGUUGGUGGGGUAAUGGCCUACCAAGCUGACGAUCCAUAGCUGGUUUGAGAGGAUGAUCAGCCACACUGGGACUGAGACACGGCCCAGACUCCUACGGGAGGCAGCAGUGGGGAAUCUUAGACAAUGGGCGCAAGCCUGAUCUAGCCAUGCCGCGUGAGCGAUGAAGGCCUUAGGGUUGUAAAGCUCUUUCGUGGGGGAAGAUAAUGACGGUACCCCAAGAAGAAGCCCCGGCUAACUCCGUGCCAGCCGCCGCCGUAACAC